GCGGGAAUAGCUCAGUUGGUAGAGCAUCAGCUUCCCAAGCUGAGGGUCGCCGGUUCGAGUCCGGUUUCCCGCU
rnacentral:tRNA from 3 species